rnacentral:lncRNA from 1 species
CAAAAAGAGUAUAUCAACAGGUUCAUACAUGACCUGAUGACAAACUUGAACAUUUUGAGAAAAAUUUCCACAACAAGUUCAUACAUGACUUGACGACACUGGAAUAAUCAAAGAGAAAGAUUCUUCAAAACAGGUUCAUACAUGACCUGAGAAUAUUAGAAUAAAGGCUCAACAACAAUGGGUUCAUACAUGACCUGACAAUGCU